AUGCGUCCCAGUAAGCAAAAGUUAAAUCACAUCCUAACGUCAAAUAUCAGAGUAAGAUGUGUUACUAGCAGUGUGAUGACAGAUUAAUACAUCAAACUAAGAAUAGGAAACAGGAUGUUUUGCCUAUGUUUGUCUCUGCAAAUAAGGUUAUUGUGAUUUACGGUCAAGAAUGAUGAACUUUUUCCCAAAAAUUGAGGAUCGGUCCUUAAAGAAGACAAUUACAGUAAAAUGAAAAAUAAAAAUCAUAUAAAUGGAAAAUGCAAGAGUUACGAGAAGUCAAGGAUCACAAAGAAAAUAGAAAGAGGAAUUAAAAUCGUAUCUUGCCCAAAAUGUUGGAUUCCUCAUCAUGUUAUGAACGUUUCUCUGAUGUUGUGUAAAUUUUCUGUAAUACAUAAUAUUAAAUUGUAAGAAUGUUCUAAAAAUCUGGCAAUAAACUCUGGCAAUAAAUGCAA